CCUACGGGAGGCAGCAGUGGGGAAUAUUGGACAAUGGGGGCAACCCUGAUCCAGCCAUGCCGCGUGUGUGAAGAAGGUCUUAGGAUUGUAAAGCACUUUAAGUUGGGAGGAAGAGCAGUUAACUAAUAUUUGACUGUUUUGACGUUACCGACAGAAUAAGCACCGGCUAACUUCGUGCCAGCAGCCGCGGUAAUACGAAGGGUGCGAGCGUUAAUCGGAAUUACUGGGCGUAAAGCGCGCGUAGGUGGUUCGUUAAGUUAGGAGUGAAAGCCCCGGGCUCAACCUGGGAAUUGCUUCUAAAACUGGCGAGCUAGAGUAUGGUAGAGGGUGGUGGAAUUUCCUGUGUAGCGGUGAAAUGCGUAGAUAUAGGAAGGAACAUCAGUGGCGAAGGCGACCACCUGGACUGAUACUGACACUGAGGUGCGAAAGCGUGGGGAGCAAACAGGAUCAGAUACCCCGGUAGUCCUAGCCGUAAACGAUGGGCACUAGGUGUAGGAGGUAUCGACCCCUUCUGUGCCGGAGCAAACGCAAUAAGUGCCCCGCCUGGGGAGUACGGCCGCAAGGUUGAAACUCAAAUGAAUUGACGG
rnacentral:rRNA from 1 species